GGAACUCUGGGUGAACUGAGUCAUCAUCCCCAGGGCACGGGUGGGCAGCUGCCCCAGGGGACCUGCCUGGACUAAUGAGAUAUUCUGUGUCUGUCCAUCCAUCCAGGUGCAAGUUCUUCAGUCUGACUGAGACGCCAGAGGAUUACACUAUCAUUGUCGAUGAGGAAGGAUUCCUAGAGCUGCCCUCCUCGGAGCACCUGAGUGUGGCAGAUGCCACCUGGCUGGCCCUGAACGUGGUGUCCGGCGGUGGCAGCUUCUCCAGCUCCCAGCCCAUCGGCGUGACCAAGAUCGCCAAGUCAGUCAUCGCCCCACUGGCUGACCAGAACAUAUCCGUGUUCAUGCUGUCCACGUAUCAGACAGACUUCAUCCUGGUGCGCGAGCGGGACCUGCCCUUUGUCACCCACACGUUGUCAUCAGAGUUCACCAUCCUGCGGGUCGUCAAUGGCGAGACCGUGGCAGCCGAGAACCUCGGCAUCACCAAUGGCUUCGUGAAGCCCAAGCUGGUCCAGAGGCCAGUCAUCCACCCACUGUCCAGCCCGAGCAACAGGUUCUGUGUCACCAGCCUGGACCCUGACACGCUGCCUGCUGUUGCCACACUCCUCAUGGAUGUCAUGUUCUACUCCAAUGGAGUGAAGGACCCCAUGGCCACUGGGGAUGACUGCGGCCACAUCCGCUUCUUCUCCUUCUCCCUCAUCGAGGGCUACAUCUCCCUGGUGAUGGACGUGCAGACGCAGCAGAGGUUUCCUAGUAACUUGCUGUUCACAAGCGCAUCCGGAGAGCUCUGGAAGAUGGUCCGGAUUGGAGGACAG
rnacentral:sRNA from 1 species